AGGAUGUCCUUAACUAGCAAAGGGUAAGGAAGUUCUUUUCAGCUUCAUAUUCCUUUCUCCUUUUGCGAGAGCUAAACUUGUUAAAUUAUAUGAGUUUUCAGAUAACGCUUUGGAAAGCAAAAUCUUAAGUAUUUUAACGAAGUUCAUUCUGCUACAGUCAACUCAUGUUUUGUUGUUUAAUUGGAAAGUACUUCUGACAUAGCUAAUCCAAAACUCUCAUUAAAUACCGGCAGUAAAAGCUUUAAUGCCAAUCAUGCAGAAACUAUGUGGAUAUGACAAAUUGUUUUUAAUUAUCAUAUAAACAUAUUAAAGCAAAAUUUCAUGGCCAACAAAUUUAAAUAAGAUGAACCAGUUUAUAUUUAUGUAAACAGAUAUCAGAGGUGCAUUAAAAAUUAAACAUCAUCAAAAUCGUUCUUAUUAGUAAUGUCCCUUUCACAUUGAACUAAAAAAUUAUAUAUUGUCAUUUUUCUACUAAAUGUUUCUUACUGUUCAUAGAUAAAAUUAGUUAAUUCCUAUGAUUUAAAACUGUUAAUUAAACCUUAGGAUAUUUUCUCCUUUUAAAAUUUAAUAUAAAGUGAUAAAGAUAUUGCAAAGAAAAGAUAAUUAGUUAUGAUAUUAAAAUUUUAAUGAUUCUUCUGGGCUCUCAUGUAAAAAAGAUCAUGGAAUGAAAUAUUUAUAACAAAACAGCUCUUCCUCCAUCAUUUAUUUCAUCGGUUAUAUUUGUGGCCUGCUAAUCCAAUCUUGAGUCACUUUUCUAAUUUAUGUAUGUAAUUUAAGGAGUUUAAAAUUGGCCUAGUGGCUAUUUCAAUACCUGUCAUUUCAUGGAUUGUGAGGUUACAUGAAAAGAAAGUUGAUGAGUCAAUGGUAUGAGUCAUUUUAUUAAAGCCAUAAUUAUAAACCACUAACUUAUAUUCCUUUGAAAAACUUUUGGAAUCCUUAAUAGUUUAGAUUUAAAAGAUUUUUUUAUAGAUAGAACUCUUCUGUUCUUGGAGUUGCAGUCCACAGACUUGAUGAUUUUAAAUUUCUACUUCUGUAACACCAUGCCAUUUUUUUAAAUAGAAAAGCAGAUGAAAUCUAUUAUUAAUGAUUUAGAUUGUCUUAGUUUGGAAGCUGUUCGUUAGAAUUCAGUUACAUGCUUUGAGAAGUUAUUUUAACUUUUGUUUUUAGAACCAUAUGUAGUAAAUUUAUCUCUCCCACCAAUGUAGUAAAAUUUUGGUAAAUAGAGAUCCAGGACCAGAUUCUGCUUCCUUUCCUAAGAAAGGUGUAUGUUGGAUUUUAGCUUGAGAUGUAGGAUAAUUUUAAAUAGAGAAUAACAUGAAACGUUGUACCAUGACCUGGAACCAUCCAUAUGAAUGCCAACACGUGUAUGCAAAACACUCUAAAACCUGUAUUUUUAAUUAUUUUGACUUUGUAAUGUAGCAAUAUGGAAAUGCUACACUAUUUUCCAAAAUCAGGGAGCUGGUUAGAUGCUGAUAACAUUUCUAUCUCAAAAUCAUUACCUUAUAUGAUCAUUUUUUUCUAUUUGACAUUCAAACAAGUAAAAAAUAUGAAAUAAAAAUCAAGCCUAACAAAAUAUGUUUUAUAAUAUUUCUCAUGUAAAUACAAGUGGCUAUGGAAUUAGCUCUGUGGAAUUUAUGUUGCUAUUUGUUUUCUCAAAAUAUUGACCUCUGCAGCCAAACUCCUAAUUGAGUGGAGAAACAGACAUUUCAGACAGUUUCGGUUUCCCCAGGGUGUAACUCCUGGCUGCCUUUGUUUUCAUGUUUUCUACAUGCUAGAAAGAAGGCUUUCAUGAUAAUUGCUCCAUUAUCCUAAAUAUUGGUUUCUUGUUCUCUCACAAACUUAGCAUCAAAGAUUGAUGAAAAAUUGGUAGUGACAGAUUGUCAAGGAGUGUUGUGGAUUGCUUUAUUGAACCCUGUCAUUCACCUUUUAUUUGUUUGCAAGUCACAGAAAUGGAUUUUGAGAUGUAUGCUGUUUAGCUUUUUUUGGUCCGUAGUAGAGUCUGAAAGAGAGCCCUUAUCUGAAAACAAAUUAUUAAUUUUAAAGUGGAUUGUGUAAGAAAGUGGAGAUGGAACUAAGAAAAUCAGUAGGUAUUACUAAAAACAAACACAUACUCUGCAGUUCUGGAUUAUUACCAAAUACUAAAAAUUUCUGUCAGGUUCUGUAGGGAAUUAAUUGCAUUGUUAAGUUGGGAAUUUGAAGAGCGUUUAGUAAAUGUAUUUACAAACAUGUGGCAAAUUAUAGCAAAAUUUAAGGAGAUUUUGUAGUAAUCUGGGAUACCGUUAUGACCCAUAAACUUGAAAAGUAAGGAAAAGAUGAAGUUACAGGAAUCAGGAGAGAGAACACUUUGACAUGAUCUGUGAUCAUCAUCAAUUGAAGCACAUAAUAGGGCAGUGAAAGAGCAAUGGGAUGGGUUCCACAGUCUUUCUCUUUCUAAUGUCCUGCUGGUGUUCUUGGCUGGAUUCCACUGGUAGCCAGACAACAAGGAAGUUGGUUAAACAAGCAGGGCAUAAACAAGACACAACAGGAGAACAUUCAACACAGUCUGUCUACAGCAAUUUAUGAUGGACUAAUUAAGUGUUUCUCUUUUUUAAACCAACUCUUGUAGCCUCCAGUGCAAAUAUAGUAUGUCUUGAUUUACAAAACAACUUAGAAUAUAUGAUUGUAUCAAUCCCUUAAACUUCCUGUAGAUAAGAAAUCAGGUAAUGCUGAUCUCAUUUUGCAAAUCAUUCAACUGCCUAGUGGAAGACAUUUAACUUGCAGGUGUUAGGACUUGGGUGCAAACUCGUCUUCUAUUUUUAAGCCUAGUAUUGUUUCCAUUAAUUUCCAAUUAUGAAAAAUAUUUGAGAGUAUUUAUUUUCUUCCUAUAAAAAGGUAAAUGAUUAUUUUUUUGACAACCUUGGGCAUCUGCCCUCUGUCAGUAAACUGAGUGUUUUGGUACAUGGUCAUGUAACCAUUUUAGUUAAACCAUUUGAAUGUAAUUGACGUUUAAUCAAUUAAGCUAAUGGUUUAUAGAUUCAGUUUUAAUAGUGUUAAACUAAAAGAUAACUAAAAGAUAAACUAAAAAGGAGCCUUGAAUCCAAAGGAGGCUCCUUCAUCUUCUUGAACAAUACUAGAGAAUUUAUAUUCUGAAAUAUAGUCUAACAUAGUCAUUAUAUUGUGGUUAUUGUUAUAUCUGAGGGAAAGGAAUUAUUUUAUUGUAUAUUUGUGUAUUUGUUUGGGCUUUGUCUUUGUAAUACCUAAGUGAUUUAGUAUGAAGUAGGGCAGAAUCUGUUGCAAAAUUGCAUUGAACAUUUAAUAGCAGGGAGAUGGUUUCCCAUUUGGGGGUAUCCUUGGUUAAAGCUGUGUUUUAUUGUCAUCAUCACCACAAAAGUGUUCUGAAUAUGCAGCCCCACAGUAAUAAUGGCUCAGUAUGACACGGUGGGCAGAUUCCUUGGUUACGGGUAGGAGCUGAAUCCUUUCUCAACCGUGGUAUUAGCAAAUUAUGAGUGAGUGUUAGGUUCUCAGAUUUAUAAAGCAUAUUUUAUGAAAGCUCUAGAGUGGAGUUUCAUUGUCUAAAAAUUAUCUAUAUCUCAACUGUUCUUUUGUUUUAGAAUUGUGUACUUAAGCACAAAGUAUUGAAUUUGUGUAAAAAUGGCAAGUGCUUCUUAUGUGUUGUUUAAAAAUAAGUAAAACUGACAUUAGUUCUAAUCCCUGCAGUGAGAACUUGGGUCCAAUAGUUAGUGCCUUUGUCUUAUGUUAAUUAGAAAGUACACUUUCAUUGGUAGCAGUAGUAUAAAGGACCACUAAUUUAAUUUCUUUCAUAUUUUUCAUUAAUUUUACAUGAAAGAAAAAUUAUAUGGUAGUGAAGUAAAGGCCUAAUAUUUGAAUUUGGUAUAAAAGUAUAUGUAACUCUCUCAGUAAUUUAGAAUAAAUAUGUUAUGUUAUACUAGGUCCCAGUUAAUAAAAAACAAUGUAUUAUUGAAAAAGUCAAUUCAAAUAUUAAUUUUUAUUGUGUUAGUUUUAGUAAGGCCUAGAAACAGCAUUAAUAAUUUUAAAAAUAUACUGUGUGCGAAACUAUUUAAACACUCUUAAAUUAAACUGGAUUUUUAGUAGAGCACUGACCAAGAAAUCAUCCUCUAGACACUUCUUUUUAGUAUCUAAUACAUUUUUAGUGUUAAAACAUUUUGCAAAAAUAUUUACUGAUUUUAAUAUGCAAAAUUUAGUGCAUGUAAAUAUCAAGAGUAUUGACAGGAUUAUUUGUAAUUAUUUCUAGGUGGGUCACUCUUUAGAGAGUUAUUAUCUAUGUAGAUAUUAUAGAAGUUGGGAAGCAUUUCAGAUCAAAAAGGAAAGUGGAGUUUAUUUCUCCUUCAACCUAGGGAGUGUCCUCUCUGAGGGCGGAUUGGAGCUGUCCUAGCUGUCUGUACUCACCAUUUCUCAUUUUGUUGGUUUUCUUUACAGAGAAAUCUCAUCCUAAGUCUCAAAUUAUGUUUUCAAAGCCAUGUACAGGAAACUCUUACCCCACGUAUCCCAAAUGCAUGACUUAGGACUCUCUAAGUCUCUUUUUCAUCUCCAUUCAGCUGCUCUUUUCAUGAUUUCUGUAGCAGUGCACUUCAAGUCAGGGUUUCUUUCAUGGCAUUCCUUCUGGUUAGAACACAUUCCUCCUUUCUAUUCACCCUUAAAACAGUUUAAUGGGAUUUUCUUUCAAAAGCCUUCCCACAAACCUGGCCCCAUCUGUACCUUGCGUUUUCUAGUCUACCCUCCAACCCGAGAAAAAACUAUUAGGUAAUUGUCAUAUUUGUGUUGGAGUUGUCCUUAAAGUUAAAUUCCAUGAAGGCACAGAUUUUGUCAAGUUUGCCAUCAUUCAGAUUGGUGCUUGAUACUGAUUGGGCUUUUUAAAUGAAUGUUUGUCUCUUUUCCUUGAGAGUGUGCUAUGUUGUCUGUAGAGAUAUUUUCUUUUACUUACUAUAGAUUCGUUAGACUUGGAGGCUUUAGACAAUUACUAGGUAGUUAAAAGUUUAACUCUUUGAGCUGACCAGGAAUAAAUUUUCGUGAGGGUGUUUAAGAUUAUGAAGUACAUGAACUAGUUGUAAACCUGUAUCAUGCCCCUAGUU
rnacentral:lncRNA from 1 species